rnacentral:rRNA from 1 species
GCAAGUCGAGCGGUAACAGGAAUUAGCUUGCUAAUUCGCUGACGAGCGGCGGACGGGUGAGUAAUGCCUGGGAAUAUGCCUUAGUGUGGGGGAUAACUAUUGGAAACGAUAGCUAAUACCGCAUAAUGUCUUCGGACCAAAGGGGGCUUCGGCUCUCGCCUUUAGAUUGGCCCAAGUGGGAUUAGCUAGUUGGUGGGGUAAUGGCUCACCAAGGCGACGAUCCCUAGCUGGUUUGAGAGGAUGAUC